rnacentral:lncRNA from 1 species
UGAUAUAUGUGAAUGAUUUGAUGAAAUCCAAUUCCAACAAGUUUUUAUCUCAAAAGUUUAUCACGCACUUUUAUCGCAAUUUUAUGUUACGAAACCAAAUCGAAACAAACCCGCACUUAAAAUCAUGGAAUUUGUGUAUGUACAAUUGAUAUCACACUAGUCCCUGUGGAUACGAUAUAACGAAAAUACUUGCUUCUGUACUUUCAUC